GGCGGACGGGUGAGUAACACGUGGAUAACCUACCUAUAAGACUGGGAUAACUUCGGGAAACCGGAGCUAAUACCGGAUAACAUAUUGAACCGCAUGGUUCAAUAGUGAAAGGCGGCUUUGCUGUCACUUAUAGAUGGAUCCGCGCCGUAUUAGCUAGUUGGUAAGGUAACGGCUUACCAAGGCAACGAUACGUAGCCGACCUGAGAGGGUGAUCGGCCACACUGGAACUGAGACACGGUCCAGACUCCUACGGGAGGCAGCAGUAGGGAAUCUUCCGCAAUGGGCGAAAGCCUGACGGAGCAACGCCGCGUGAGUGAUGAAGGUCUUCGGAUCGUAAAACUCUGUUAUCAGGGAAGAACAAAUGUGUAAGUAACUGUGCACAUCUUGACGGUACCUGAUCAGAAAGCCACGGCUAACUACGUGCCAGCAGCCGCGGUAAUACGUAGGUGGCAAGCGUUAUCCGGAAUUAUUGGGCGUAAAGCGCGCGUAGGCGGUUUUUUAAGUCUGAUGUGAAAGCCCACGGCUCAACCGUGGAGGGUCAUUGGAAACUGGAAAACUUGAGUGCAGAAGAGGAAAGUGGAAUUCCAUGUGUAGCGGUGAAAUGCGCAGAGAUAUGGAGGAACACCAGUGGCGAAGGCGACUUUCUGGUCUGUAACUGACGCUGAUGUGCGAAAGCGUGGGGAUCAAACAGGAUUAGAUACCCUGGUAGUCCACGCCGUAAACGAUGAGUGCUAAGUGUUAGGGGGUUUCCGCCCCUUAGUGCUGCAGCUAACGCAUUAAGCACUCCGCCUGGGGAGUACGACCGCAAGGUUGAAACUCAAAGGAAUUGACGGGGACCCGCACAGCGGUGGAGCAUGUGGUUUAUUUCGAAGCAACGCGAAGAACCUUACCAAAUCUUGACAUCCUUUGACCGCUCUAGAGAUAGAGUGUUUUCCUUCGGGGGACAAAAAGACAGGUGGUGCAUGGUGGUCGUCAGCUCGUGUCUUGAGAUGUUGGGUUAAGUCCCGCAACGAGCGCAACCC
rnacentral:rRNA from 1 species